rnacentral:lncRNA from 1 species
AAGGAAAAGGUUCCAGGGGAGCCAUGUGGUCGAACAGGCAAAGAGAACUCGACCUCUUGAGGAAGUGAGACGGAGGCAGAGGGAUGGAGAACAGAGAAAAUAGGUGGUGAAGGGAGGAUUGCAGACGCAGGAUGACGAAGCACGGAAUCCUCGUGGGACCCCGACCCGGGACUGUGACCCUGACAUCCAGAGGCAGUGAUGCAGAUUCUUGAGGGGUUCCCAGGAGAAGACCUGAGGGGAGUGUGGUGGUUGUGUUCUAUGCAGUUCGUGAGCAAGGGGGAAGGGAGAGAAAGCCUCGUAGUAACAAUGAAAAUGCGGGAGCUCCUUGAUAGACGGGAAGGUCCAACCGACUUGACUGCCUGCUCGCUCCUCGGGCCGCCUUUGAUCCUAGCAUGAAUGCGAGCAACUGAUCACCUGGGGUCAGUUUGGAGACCGCAGAUGAGUCAGGUGCCGUAGUUGGCUGUGGAAGAAAAUUAACAUUUACUGAGCGCCUACCUAGUGCUCCCGGAGCAGUUGUGGACGUGCAGCUGUGAUAACGGCACACCAGGUUCCUGAUCUCAUGGAGAUGACAUUUUAAGCUGGGAGACAGACCAUAAACAACAUAAAUAUAAACAUACGAGAAAAUGCUGAUAAACUAUGAGCACUGGGGUAAUUGCUAAACUUUCAAAAGUGGUGAUGGGGGUGAUAAAGAGCUGCAAAGCGCCCUGAGGGCCUCUCGGCGGAGGUGGCUUUUCGGCCGGUUACUGCACUGGAGAAAGGAGCUGCCACACCCCAGUCUCGGCAAGAGCGUUCCAGGCAAAGGGAACGGCAAAUGCAAUGUAUUUCUCCUCUCUGAAAACCCAUCUAACUACCUCACCGAGCUGGACAAUAAGCGCGGCCCCCUAGGUUCAGUGCCUGGCACAGAGUAGGGGCUCCAGAAUGUUAAAUUCCAGUGCCGCCCGCCACCUGCGGCGCUCGACGCGUUUCCGGGCUCUCAACUGACCCCCAAUUAAGGUUUCUGAGGCUCUUGCCGGAGCCGCGCUAUUCACAAUUCAUUCAUCGCGGUCAGUUCCCCGCUUUCUGGAACCAUCCGUCGCGGAAUGUCUGGGACUGUCUGGUUUGGAUCUGGCAGGCGGCGAGCGAGGGCGGGAGGAUCCCGACGAGCUGCAGAAAGAAGCCACCGUCAUGCUGCCCGCGUCGGCACCCGGAGAACCUGAUUGGAGAAGGUUUAAAAUCGAAAGGCUCGGACGUUCUUAGAGCAUCGCCCCGCACCGACGAACGCCGGGGGGGAUGGACGGGUCUGGGAGGCGCCCGCACCUCUCAUUCCGAAUUCGGGGAGGCACCCUCGCCCAGCCCCGCCUGCCUGAGCAGCCCAGACUGUUUUCCCAGAGCUUCCUCCAUUUCUCAGUAAUUCCUGUCUGAGGAAGAAGAUUAGCCCUGAGCUAACUGCUGCCAUCCUCCUCUUUUUGCUGAGGAAGACUGGCCCUGAGCUAACAUCCCUGCCUAUCUUCCUCUACUUUAUAUGUUGGGCACCUGCCACAGCAUGGCGUGCCAAGCGGUGCUACGUCCGCACCUGGGAUCCGAACCAGGGAACCCCAGGCCUCCAAAGCAGAACGUACGCGCUAAACCGCUGCGCCACCGGGCCAGCCCCAACCUCUUCA